GUUGACUCCAAUGACAGUCUGACAAUGAUGCAAAUCAUCCUUCAAUGGAAAGCACCACAAAAGACCAAUUAAAAAGACAAGUUCCAGAGAUUAAGGGAAAGAGUUUCAAGACAGGAUAGACCACAGGUAGUCCUCCUGUCAAAAAAGCCUGCGCCUCGUGGUCAAGGUCGGUAACCAGCUCUCCCCUACACCACGCUUGGACUCACGCUGCCACCCCCCAGCACCAAGCUGCAUUGUACAUCCAAUACAAUAUGUAUACAGAGAGCA